UACGGGGGGGGCAAGCGUUGUUCGGAAUUACUGGGCGUAAAGGGCGCGUAGGCGGCCGCCUCAGUCGAACGUGAAAUCCCUCGGCUUAACCGGGGAAUGGCGUCCGAUACUGGGUGGCUGGAAUCCGGGAGAGGGAUGCGGAAUUCCAGGUGUAGCGGUGAAAUGCGUAGAUAUCUGGAGGAACACCGGUGGCGAAGGCGGCAUCCUGGACCGGCAUUGACGCUGAGGCGCGAAAGCCAGGGGAGCAAAC
rnacentral:rRNA from 1 species